rnacentral:snRNA from 8 species
UCCCAAAUGUGGAAAUCUCGAUUGCAUAAUUUCUGGUAGUGGGGGACUGCGUUCACGCUCUCCCCUG